UGGGGAAUAUUGGACAAUGGGCGCAAGCCUGAUCCAGCCAUGCCGCGUGAGUGAUGAAGGCCUUAGGGUUGUAAAGCUCUUUCGCCGGUGAAGAUAAUGACGGUAACCGGAGAAGAAGCCCCGGCUAACUUCGUGCCAGCAGCCGCGGUAAUACGAAGGGGGCUAGCGUUGCUCGGAAUCACUGGGCGUAAAGCGCACGUAGGCGGAUCGUUAAGUCAGGGGUGAAAUCCUGGAGCUCAACUCCAGAACUGCCCUUGAUACUGGCGAUCUCGAGUUCGAGAGAGGUUGGUGGAACUCCGAGUGUAGAGGUGAAAUUCGUAGAUAUUCGGAAGAACACCAGUGGCGAAGGCGGCCAACUGGCUCGAUACUGACGCUGAGGUGCGAAAGCGUGGGGAGCAAAACAGGAUUAGAUACCCUGGUAGUCCACGCCGUAAACGAUGGAUGCUAGCCGUUGGGGGGUUUACCUCUCAGUGGCGCAGCUAACGCCUUAAGCAUCCCGCCUGGGGAGUACGGUCGCAAGAUUAAAAACUUAAAGGAAUUGACGGGGUCAUAGCUGUUUCCU
rnacentral:rRNA from 1 species